GAUGAACGCUGGCGGCGUGCCUAAUACAUGCAAGUCGAGCGAACGGACGAGAAGCUUGCUCCUCUGAUGUUAGCGGCGGACGGGUGAGUAACACGUGGAUAACCUACCUAUAAGACUGGGAUAACUUCGGGACACCGGAGCUAAUACCGGAUAAUAUAUUGAACCGCAUGGUUCAAUAGUGAAAGACGGUCUUGCUGUCACUUAUAGAUGGAUCCGCGCCGCAUUAGCUAGUUGGUAAGGUAACGGCUUACCAAGGCAACGAUGCAUAGCCGACCUGAGAGGGUGAUCGGCCACACUGGAACUGAGACACGGUCCAGACUCCUACGGGAGGCAGCAGUAGGGAAUCUUCCGCAAUGGGCGAAAGCCUGACGGAGCAACGCCGCGUGAGUGAUGAAGGUCUUCGGAUCGUAAAACUCUGUUAUUAGGGAAGAACAAAUGUGUAAGUAACUGUGCACACCUUGACGGUACCUAAUCAGAAAGCCACGGCUAACUACGUG
rnacentral:rRNA from 1 species